rnacentral:rRNA from 1 species
AGAUUGAACGCUGGCGGCAUGCCUUACACAUGCAAGUCGAACGGCAGCACGGGAGCAAUCCUGGUGGCGAGUGGCGAACGGGUGAGUAAUACAUCGGAACGUGCCCAAUCGUGGGGGAUAACGCAGCGAAAGCUGUGCUAAUACCGCAUAAGAUCUACGGAUGAAAGCAGGGGAUCGCAAGACCUUGCGCGAAUGGAGCGGCCGAUGGCAGAUUAGGUAGUUGGUGAGGUAAAGGCUCACCAAGCCUUCGAUCUGUAGCUGGUCUGAGAGGACGACCAGCCACACUGGGACUGAGACACGGCCCAGACUCCUACGGGAGGCAGCAGUGGGGAAUUUUGGACAAGUGGGCGAAGCCUGAUCCAGCCAUGCCGCGUGCAGGAUGAAGCUUCGGUUGUAACUGCUUUGUACGGAACGAAAGUCUACUUACUAAGUAAGAGAGAUACAUGACGUACGUAAGAAUAAGCACG